rnacentral:sRNA from 1 species
AUGAAGAAGAGGAAGAAGAGGAGGAG